CUGGAGGAAUCUCUCUAACGUCUACAAGACUAUUGCUUUGCAACUUAUCCUUUAAAAGUUCACAGGACCAGUCCGUUCUCCUGAGUCCUUUAAACAUUAAGUCAGUAAAAAUAUCCGAAAUAAGAUCUGAAUGCUGAAGAAAUGUCAAAGAACACCUUAGUAUGUCCAAAUGCUUCAGAAUAUAUUUGCAUUCAUUUUGCAACAUAUUUAACUAGUGCAGAAAGAUAUUGUCAGACUUUUCUACCACUGAAUGCUUCAAAGUUUACUCUCUCUGUUCCUGAUACACAUUGAGUCAUCAACCAAGGAAGGAUGCUGAAAAUGGUCAGUACUUUGGGUUCCAUAAGCUUGCUGAACUCCAGUGGAAGCUGUGCAUCUUCAGCAACCAAAGAAAAAGCACCUAUCAUUACGUUUUGAAUUAUGGACACAUUAUGUAUUUCAUAUUGAAAGAAUAAUAUUAAAAGAGCAUUAUUACCAUUGCUGAGAGGUAAGUUUUAUUAGCUUGGGCCACAUGCCAUCUGAUGUGAUCACAUGAGUUUGAACUGUUUGUGAAGGCACACCCAGAAUUCAUAAUGUGUUUUUUCUUUAAACAGCUCAGACAUCAUAACCAGAAACAGUAGGUUACUAAGAUUGCACAAACUUGUGAGAGUUAGGAAGUCUUAGCUUUAUGGUUGCAAAUUAAAACUCAACUU